rnacentral:rRNA from 1 species
UACAGAGGUCCCAAGCGUUGUUCGGAUUCACUGGGCGUAAAGGGUGCGGAGGCGGUCGGGUAAGUCUGAUGUGAAAUCUCACAGCUUAACUGUGAAACUGCAUUGGAUACUAUCCGGCUAGAGGAAUGGAGGGGAGACUGGAAUACUUGGUGUAGCAGUGAAAUGCGUAGAUAUCAAGUGGAACACCAGUGGCGAAGGCGAGUCUCUGGACAUUUCCUGACGCUGAGGCACGAAAGCCAGGGGAGCAAACGGG